rnacentral:rRNA from 1 species
GGUUAAGCGACUAAGCGUACACGGUGGAUGCCCUGGCAGUCAGAGGCGAUGAAGGACGUGCUAAUCUGCGAAAAGCGUCGGUAAGGUGAUAUGAACCGUUAUAACCGGCGAUGUCCGAAUGGGGAAACCCAGUGUGUUUCGACACACUAUCAUUAACUGAAUCCAUAGGUUAAUGAGGCGAACCGGGGGAACUGAAACAUCUAAGUACCCCGAGGAAAAGAAAUCAACCGAGAUUCCCCCAGUAGCGGCGAGCGAACGGGGAGGAGCCCCCAGAGCCUGAAUCAGUGUGUGUGUUAGUGGAAGCGUCUGGAAAGGCGUGCGAUACAGGGUGACAGCCCCGUACACAAAAAUGCACAUGCUGUGAGCUCGAUGAGUAGGGCGGGACACGUGGUAUCCUGUCUGAAUAUGGGGGGACCAUCCUCCAAGGCUAAAUACUCCUGACUGACCGAUAGUGAACCAGUACCGUGAGGGAAAGGCGAAAAGAACCCCGGCGAGGGGAGUGAAAAAGAACCUGAAACCGUGUACGUACAAGCAGUGGGAGCCUCUUUAUGGGGUGACUGCGUACCUUUUGUAUAAUGGGUCAGCGACUUAUAUUCUGUAGCAAGGUUAACCGAAUAGGGGAGCCGGAGGGAAACCGAGUCUUAACUGGGCGUUAAGUUGCAGGGUAUAGACCCGAAACCCGGUGAUCUAGCCAUGGGCAGGUUGAAGGUUGGGUAACACUAACUGGAGGACCGAACCGACUAAUGUUGAAAAAUUAGCGGAUGACUUGUGGCUGGGGUGAAAGGCCAAUCAAACCGGGAGAUAGCUGGUUCUCCCCGAAAGCUAUUUAGGUAGCGCCUCGUGAAUUCAUCUCCGGGGGUAGAGCACUGUUUCGGCAAGGGGGUCAUCCCGACUUACCAACCCGAUGCAAACUGCGAAUACCGGAGAAUGUUAUCACGGGAGACACACGGCGGGUGCUAACGUCCGUCGUGAAGAGGGAAACAACCCAGACCGCCAGCUAAGGUCCCAAAGUCAUGGUUAAGUGGGAAACGAUGUGGGAAGGCCCAGACAGCCAGGAUGUUGGCUUAGAAGCAGCCAUCAUUUAAAGAAAGCGUAAUAGCUCACUGGUCGAGUCGGCCUGCGCGGAAGAUGUAACGGGGCUAAACCAUGCACCGAAGCUGCGGCAGCGACGCUGAUGCGUUGUUGGGUAGGGGAGCGUUCUGUAAGCCUGUGAAGGUGUGCUGUGAGGCAUGCUGGAGGUAUCAGAAGUGCGAAUGCUGACAUAAGUAACGAUAAAGCGGGUGAAAAGCCCGCUCGCCGGAAGACCAAGGGUUCCUGUCCAACGUUAAUCGGGGCAGGGUGAGUCGACCCCUAAGGCGAGGCCGAAAGGCGUAGUCGAUGGGAAACAGGUUAAUAUUCCUGUACUUGGUGUUACUGCGAAGGGGGGACGGAGAAGGCUAUGUUGGCCGGGCGACGGUUGUCCCGGUUUAAGCGUGUAGGCUGGUUUUCCAGGCAAAUCCGGAGAAUCAAGGCUGAGGCGUGAUGACGAGGCACUACGGUGCUGAAGCAACAAAUGCCCUGCUUCCAGGAAAAGCCUCUAAGCAUCAGGUAACAUCAAAUCGUACCCCAAACCGACACAGGUGGUCAGGUAGAGAAUACCAAGGCGCUUGAGAGAACUCGGGUGAAGGAACUAGGCAAAAUGGUGCCGUAACUUCGGGAGAAGGCACGCUGAUAUGUAGGUGAAGCGACUUGCUCGUGGAGCUGAAAUCAGUCGAAGAUACCAGCUGGCUGCAACUGUUUAUUAAAAACACAGCACUGUGCAAACACGAAAGUGGACGUAUACGGUGUGACGCCUGCCCGGUGCCGGAAGGUUAAUUGAUGGGGUCAGCGCAAGCGAAGCUCUUGAUCGAAGCCCCGGUAAACGGCGGCCGUAACUAUAACGGUCCUAAGGUAGCGAAAUUCCUUGUCGGGUAAGUUCCGACCUGCACGAAUGGCGUAAUGAUGGCCAGGCUGUCUCCACCCGAGACUCAGUGAAAUUGAACUCGCUGUGAAGAUGCAGUGUACCCGCGGCAAGACGGAAAGACCCCGUGAACCUUUACUAUAGCUUGACACUGAACACUGGUCCUUGAUGUGUAGGAUAGGUGGGAGGCUUUGAAGUGUGGACGCCAGUCUGCAUGGAGCCGUCCUUGAAAUACCACCCUUUAAUGGCUGGUGUUCUAACGUAGGCCCCUUAUCGGGGUUGCGGACAGUGUCUGGUGGGUAGUUUGACUGGGGCGGUCUCCUCCUAAAGAGUAACGGAGGAGCACGAAGGUUGGCUAAUCCUGGUCGGACAUCAGGAGGUUAGUGCAAUGGCAUAAGCCAGCUUGACUGCGAGCGUGACGGCGCGAGCAGGUGCGAAAGCAGGUCAUAGUGAUCCGGUGGUUCUGAAUGGAAGGGCCAUCGCUCAACGGAUAAAAGGUACUCCGGGGAUAACAGGCUGAUACCGCCCAAGAGUUCAUAUCGACGGCGGUGUUUGGCACCUCGAUGUCGGCUCAUCACAUCCUGGGGCUGAAGUAGGUCCCAAGGGUAUGGCUGUUCGCCAUUUAAAGUGGUACGCGAGCUGGGUUUAGAACGUCGUGAGACAGUUCGGUCCCUAUCUGCCGUGGGCGCUGGAGAACUGAGGGGGGCUGCUCCUAGUACGAGAGGACCGGAGUGGACGCAUCACUGGUGUUCGGGUUGUCAUGCCAAUGGCACUGCCCGGUAGCUAAAUGCGGAAGAGAUAAGUGCUGAAAGCAUCUAAGCACGAAACUUGCCCCGAGAUGAGUUCUCCCUGACCCUUUAAGGGUCCUGAAGGAACGUUGAAGACGACGACGUUGAUAGGCCGGGUGUGUAAGCGCAGCGAUGCGUUGAGCUAACCGGUACUAAUGAACCGUGAGGCUUAACCUU